rnacentral:rRNA from 1 species
GGGUUGUGAGGUUAAGCGACUAAGCGUACACGGUGGAUGCCCUGGCAGUCAGAGGCGAUGAAGGACGUGCUAAUCUGCGAAAAGCGCCGGCGAGGUGAUAUGAACCUUUGACCCGGCGAUGUCCGAAUGGGGAAACCCAGUGUGUUACGACA